UUCGUGGAGUGAUCUGUCUGCUUAAUUGCGUUUCAAAAUCUAAACCUGAGCGACAAGGUGCUGCUAUCGAAACUGUCUUUGAGUGUGAACUAUAAGUCUUUUGACUUAUGACCAUCACUCUAGACGUUUAUGUUUUGGUGUUGGCCCUUGAUGCUCAUUUGAACGCAACGGACGUGAUUGCAACCCCUUGUUGAGAUUUAUCCGAUCUCUACGUUCACUGAACCACACUCUUUAGCGAGAGCAGUGGGGAUGUGGAUAAACUCGGGGGACUGCUGACUAUAAACUUUUCUCAAACCAGAGGAAGGUUGCGGCAAUAACAGGUCUGUGAUGCCCUCAGAUGUUCCGGGCUGCACACGUGCUACAUUUAGUAGCGCAGUGUGCACAUUAAUAGAGUGAUAGGUUCCGUGGUUUGUACAUUUUAAGGGCUCGUCCUAGUAACCAAAGCUCCACGGGACAUAUCAACCUUCCCCUUACAGGGCGGGUAACCUCUUCGAAGUGCUGGCAUGAUUUCCCUAGUUUUGGCAUUUGAAUCCUUGUCGCAGCAGCCCUGAGACGUAGUGAACGCUGCAAAGUGAUUCCAGUCUUAGGUUUGCGACACAUGCAAUUCCUGGUUGACUCA
rnacentral:rRNA from 1 species